UAGGGAAUCUUCCACAAUGGACGCAAGUCUGAUGGAGCAACGCCGCGUGAGUGAAGAAGGCUUUCGGGUCGUAAAACUCUGUUGUUGGAGAAGAAUGGUCGGCAGAGUAACUGUUGUCGGCGUGACGGUAUCCAACCAGAAAGCCACGGCUAACUACGUGCCAGCAGCCGCGGUAAUACGUAGGUGGCAAGCGUUAUCCGGAUUUAUUGGGCGUAAAGCGAGCGCAGGCGGUUUUUUAAGUCUGAUGUGAAAGCCCUCGGCUUAACCGAGGAAGUGCAUCGGAAACUGGAAAACUUGAGUGCAGAAGAGGACAGUGGAACUCCAUGUGUAGCGGUGAAAUGCGUAGAUAUAUGGAAGAACACCAGUGGCGAAGGCGGCUGUCUGGUCUGUAACUGACGCUGAGGCUCGAAAGCAUGGGUAGCGAACAGGAUUAGAUACCCUGGUAGUCCAUGCCGUAAACGAUGAAUGCUAGGUGUUGGAGGGUUUCCGCCCUUCAGUG
rnacentral:rRNA from 1 species